UACGGGGGGAGCAAGCGUUGUUCGGAUUUACUGGGCGUAAAGGGCGCGUAGGCGGCCUCCGCAGGUCAGUUGUGAAAUCUCCGAGCUUAACUCGGAAAGGUCAACUGAUACUGCGGGGCUAGAGUGCGGAAGGGGCAACUGGAAUUCUUGGUGUAGCGGUGAAAUGCGUAGAUAUCAAGAGGAACACCAGCGGCGAAGGCGGGUUGCUGGGCCGACACUGACGCUGAGGCGCGAAAGCUAGGGGAGCGAACGGG
rnacentral:rRNA from 1 species